GACGAACGCUGGCGGCGCGCUUAACACAUGCAAGUCGAACGGAAAGGCCUGCUUUCCCUUGUGGAUUGCGGGUACUCGAGUGGCGAACGGGUGAGUAACACGUGAGUGAUCUGCCCCCAACUUGGGUAUAAGCCUGGGAAACUGGGUCUAAUUCCCGAUAGGACUGCAGGGUGGUGCCUGUGGUGGAAAACGAUUUUCUAGUGGUUGGGGAUGAGCUCGCGGCCUAUCAGCUUGUUGGUGGGGUAAUGGCCUACCAAGGCGGCGACGGGUAGCCGGCCUGGGAGGGUGGACGGCCGCAUUGGGACUGAGAUACGGCCCAGACUCCUACGGGAGGCAGCAGUGGGGAAUAUUGCACAAUGGGCGGAAGCCUGAUGCAGCGACGCCGCGUGGGGGAUGACGGCCUUCGGGUUGUAAACUCCUUUCGACCGCGAGGAAGCCACCUGGUUGGAAGGGUGGUGACGGUAGUGGUAGAAGAAGCACCGGCUAACUACGUG
rnacentral:rRNA from 1 species